AUCCUAUCAAAUCUUACUUUAUAUAAUAGUAAGAUUCUUUUACAAAUUUUUUAAUAGUAAAAAGUCUUCAAUAAUCUUGACGUCUGGACAAAAUUCUUCAAUUAAUUGUUUCUUUUUCUAGAAACUUCUUGUCUUUUCUCCAGCUGUCUGAUUGAUUUUUUACACCUGUCUGAAAAAUUUCUUAUCUUGUUGCAUAAUUAUGUCUGCCAAUACUGUCUAAAGAAUCUCCUCCGUCAGUGAAAUCUUCAAAAUUAUCUUCUGAAUUAUUGUCUUUGGAGUCAUCUCUGUCUUGUUCAAUCUUCUUUUUUCCUUUAUUUUUCUUUUUAAUUUGUAAUUUCUUUUUCUUCGUAGUACUUUGUUUAACUUGUUGCUGAAUUUCUUCAAUCUUUUCAAACAUCUCUUUAAUCUUUCUAAUAUCUGAUUGAGAAAUUUGGUCUGGAUCUUGAGCUGAUUGAAAUGAUCCUGGAAAAUUAAUUGGGCUUUUCUGUUUAAGAUCUAUUGGGCUAAUAAGUCUAGUAGCAGAAUUAUCAGUCUGCUGUGUCUGAUCUUCUUUAUUAUAUGUAACAGGAUUUUCAGCCUGUUGUGUCUGAGAAGUAGAGGAAUCAACAGUCCUCUGAGUCUGUUGAGCUUUUGGUAAGCCCAGAACCAUAAACGGAUUUGAUAAGUCUUUACCAGCUUCCGUUUGAGCUGGACUAGCUAUAGAUUUAUUG
rnacentral:lncRNA from 1 species